rnacentral:misc_RNA from 1 species
UACGUAGGUCCCAAGCGUUAUCCGGAUUUACUGGGCGUAAAGCGUCCGGAGCCGGUUACAUAAGUCUGCAUUCAAAUACCCGGGCUCAACCCGGGAAAGGGUGUCGAUACUGUGUAACUCGAGUAAGAUAGGGGAUAGUAGAAUUUCCAGUGGAGGGGUGAAAUCCGUUGAUAUUGGAAGGAAUACCAAAAGCGAAGGCAGCUAUCUAUAUCUUUACAGACGGUCGUGGACGAAAGCUUGGGUAGCAAAUAGG